rnacentral:misc_RNA from 1 species
ACUCAGUAGAUGGACGAGACAACCCAACCUCUUUCACCGAGUCGGGUGCCAAAAAGUCUGCUAUCGCUUAAUAGAAUAAGAGAAAUAGAUAAGCGGACUUACCACUUCAUCUGUUGUAGCUGAAUGAAAUAUCGGGAAUUACAGCCAAUUUGACGGGGUUUAUGCGACUUAUUAUAUUGAGGUGCAAUUCCAAAAAAAAAAA